rnacentral:sRNA from 1 species
AUUCUGCCCAUGCGGGGAAGGAUGAGAAGCUUCGACUAAGGUUCGGCUCGAGCGUCAGCGAGAGAGCGUUGCCGCAGGCAACGACCCGAACUGUAAAUCUGCCGUCAUCGACUUCGAAGGUUCGAAUCCUUCCCCCACCACCA